rnacentral:rRNA from 1 species
GUCCACGCCGUAAACGAUGGGCACUAGGUGUGGGAGGUGUCGACUCCUUCCGUGCCGAAGCUAACUCAUUAAGUGCCCCGCCUGGGGAGUACGGCCGCAAGGCUAAAACUCAAAGGAAUUGACGGGGGCCCGCACAAGCAGCGGAGCAUGUGGUUUAAUUCGACGAAACGCGAAGAACCUUACCUGGGCUUGACAUGUCUCUGACCGGUGUGGAAACACAUCUUCCCUUUUAGGGCAGAGUCACAGGUGGUGCAUGGCUGUCGU